ensembl:miRNA
UGCUCAGUAGUCAGUGUAGAUCCUGUGGGGCAGUCAGCAGCUACAUCUGGCUACUGGGUC